rnacentral:rRNA from 1 species
UGAACGCUGGCGGUAGGCCUAACACAUGCAAGUCGAACGGCAGCACAGUAAGAGCUUGCUCUUACGGGUGGCGAGUGGCGGACGGGUGAGGAAUACAUCGGAAUCUACUUUUUCGUGGGGGAUAACGGAGGGAAACUUACGCUAAUACCGCAUACGACCUACGGGUGAAAGCAGGGGAUCUUCGGACCUUGCGCGAUUGAAUGAGCCGAUGUCGGAUUAGCUAGUUGGCGGGGUAAAGGCCCACCAAGGCGACGAUCCGUAGCUGGUCUGAGAGGAUGAUCAGCCACACUGGAACUGAGACACGGUCCAGACUCCUACGGGAGGCAGCAGUGGGGAAUAUUGGACAAUGGGCGCAAGCCUGAUCCAGCCAUACCGCGUGGGUGAAGAAGGCCUUCGGGUUGUAAAGCCCUUUUGUUGGGAAAGAAAAGCAGCAGGUUAAUACCCCGCUGUUCUGACGGUACCCAAAGAAUAAGCACCGGCUAACUUCGUG